AUGCACGCUGGCGGCGUGCCUAAUACAUGCCAGUCGAGCGAACAGACGAGGAGCUUGCUCCUCUGACGUUAGCGGCGGACGGGUGAGUAACACGUGGAUAACCUACCUAUAAGACUGGGAUAACUUCGGGAAACCGGAGCUAAUACCGGAUAAUAUAUUGAACCGCAUGGUUCAAUAGUGAAAGACGGUUUUGCUGUCACUUAUAGAUGGAUCCGCGCCGCAUUAGCUAGUUGGUAAGGUAACGGCUUACCAAGGCGACGAUGCGUAGCCGACCUGAGAGGGUGAUCGGCCACACUGGAACUGAGACACGGUCCAGACUCCUACGGGAGGCAGCAGUAGGGAAUCUUCCGCAAAGGGCGAAAGCUUGACGGAGCAACGCCGCGUGAGUGAUGAAGGUCUUCGGAUCGUAAAACUCUGUUAUUAGGGAAGAACAAAUGUGUAAGUAACUAUGCACGUCUUGACGGUACCUAAUCAGAAAGCCACGGCUAACUACGUG
rnacentral:rRNA from 1 species